AGUCCGACGCCAUUGCCUGCUUUGCGUUAUGUGCCGUCCAACGUCGCGCCCGUUUGCCUCUCGGUAGCGUUCCACCGCGUUUGACACUGCAUACUCUGGCUCAUUGUUCGCGGUGGUGCGCCUCAUGCAGCACUUUCAUCGCCUUGACUCCAUGUUCGGCCUUCAUGUCGGUGUUGUGGUCUUCAAUUCUUGUAAAUUGCUAAUCAACAUCAGCAGCAAGAUCACAAGCUAACAUGCAUUAGUUCUUUUUGCAACAUAUAGUCUCAAUGUUUCCAGAACUGCAAUAACGAUGGCUUUUUCCCAACUGGAGAGUACACCAUGGGUAUGGCUGACAAAUGAAAGCAACCUGAGCUCAGUCAAGGACAAUGCUGAGAAACUUUCCAUACUGAUUCAACUAACGGAAAUGCUUCGAACAGGCUGCCCUCUACCGUAUCUUUGAAAGGAGGAAGAAUUACAGCACAAAGGAGCAACAGACCUUUGACAAGUUGGCCUCCUGCCAAAGGCACCUCAAGGAACUGCAUCUCAUAUGUUGCACCAUUGCUGCGAGAGCUCCCUUUCAAUUCAUUGUGGAACAGGACCAAGUCUCUGGGAUACACAUAUGACGGCAUAAUAACUUGCAUUGGAGUUGGGAAUGUUUUGCCAAGCCAAUGCAAUUGUCAGCAUGCUGCUGCAAUGCUAGGUUCCCUGAAGCCAUUCCCACCAGUGUCCUGCAGUAAAGUGGCUAAUUGAAGAUAAGGCAUCAGCCUUGUGCCAUGCAGUGAAUUAGUGUCUUCAGAAAUUGGGAAAAGAUUGUGCUGAAAGUGAAGUGCUGUGGCUGAAUGAAAAAAGUGGGUGCCUUUUAUUGCGCUGUGAAAGUGAGUACCAAAAGUAUAGCCCUAGGAAAGCGCAGGGCUGGAAGUAGUAAAUGGCUGGUGUGGUGCCAAAAGUCUGCUGUGCUUUUGUGCAAGUGUGAGUGUAUGUGUGCAUGCGUUCUUUUUUAAUCAACAUGCAGAUGCAUGCACAUUUGUGUGGUGCAUCCUCAAGUUAAUAAAUUUAGUGUCAUUGGUGUUAUGUCUUUUGACAUAACAAUUGGCCUUGCCUCGUGCUGUGCUACAUCUCUCACAAUAAGUGUUCACCUCAGCCAGUGUUUUGAAGAUUCAUCAAGCCACCAAGAUGAUCUACACUGCCGAACGACCACUUAUUGUGCAGCUGAUCGGCAAAGUAGUGCAUCCCUGUGUGCUGUGUGCCAAGUAGACGUCAGCAGUUGUGCAGUGAAAGUAAUUUGCGAAAGUGGUUUGAGGGGGGGGGGGGGGGUGAGUGAAGUUACAAGAUAUCUACAGUUUUCAUCUUGUCAGUGGUGCGGUGCUGUUUCAAAGUGAUGUGCAGUGCGAUAUGUGAAGUGAGCCAUGUGGUGAGAGUGUAGUACCAUGUGUAAUUGUUGGCUUCUCAUCAUGUGUAAUUAUGUGGUUUCAAGGUGCAUACUCCUAGUGAGUAGGCAGUCAGCACCAAGUGUGUAGGAGGUGAAGUGCAUCAAGCUCAUGUUUUCUGUCACUGCCAUAUUUAGCAGCAAGUCGUGAAGAAAUCCCGAAUGUCUACAAAGGUUCAAGGCAAAUGUGCUUGCACCUAUCAUGGGCCUCCAUGGAGAGCUUCAUAGUAUGCAUAUGUGAUAUGUCACUGGUGUUCAAUGCAUAGCCAGUGGUUCAUUAACACCAAGUACUUCAAGAAGCACGAUCAAGUAUGCCAAACUAGUUCAACAUGCUGAUGCAGGUGGAACUUUCUACUCUGAGCUCUGUUGGAGUUCCUCUGGCAUAUGCAAAUAUUCAAGGCACUUUGUUGUUUCAGUCAGCACUGGAGCACAAGAUACCUACAUUCAAACCAACAGAGAUAAAAUACAGUCAACUUUUUGCUAUGCAGUCGGAAAUUGGUCACAGUUCACAUAGCCUUGGGAUCAAGCUGCUGCCUGAAAAUGGAUCCAUCAUGGCAGGAAAAUCCUGUUUGAUUUAUUAAUGUCACAGGUAUGCCCAACACAGUGAGUAUCCAGGCUUAGGUGACAUCUCGCAAUGUCCUUCAAGCUGCGCAUGAAACUGCAUGCUCAUUUAAAGUGACGAUUUUACAUUGUCAGUUCAGAGGAUUUUCGUUUUUGGAAGUCCAAAAUAAGGGUGCAGUGCAAACAUAUAAGAAAGUACUAUAUUUAAAGCAGCUAUACAUUUUAACUCACUUUAUCAAUUUGACUGCUGUAGUUCACACGUAGCCUUACGAAUAUCGUAUAAAUAUGCAUAUAACUGCUUGGUAAAAAGAACAGGCACAAAGCUUAUACACAAAUUCAUUAGAAAUUAGUGCAGCUUAAUCAGCUCUUCUGAAGUGUGCAUAUUUGGUGGUGGUGUUAAAACAAUCAUUGCAUGUAUGUUGAAAGGCUUCCAGGUUGUUGCUGGCUGUGGUUAGACCAGUGCUCCCACAGGUAUGUGUUUAUCACUCAGCAAUUGGCACCAGUACAGUAUGCAGUGUGGGUGGUGCACCUUUCAUCUCUUGGAUUCUAGUGGGUAAUGUGGCUGACCUUUUGUGAAUGUAAGUACUCCAAUCACCUUAUUGCUAUUCCACAACAUGCAUGCACU